rnacentral:rRNA from 1 species
UACAGAGGGUGCGAGCGUUAAUCGGAAUGACUGGGCGUAAAGGGUGUGUAGGUGGUUUGAUAAGUUAGGUGUGAAAGUCCUGGGCUUAACCUGGGGGAGGUCGCUUAAGACUGUCGAGCUAGAGUACUGUAGAGGAAGGUGGAAUUUCCGGAGUAGCAGUGAAAUGCGUAGAUAUCGGAAGGAACAUCAGUGGCGAAGGCGACUUUCUGGACAGAUACUGACACUGAGGCACGAAAGCGUGGGGGAGCGAACAGG